AGAGUUUGAUCCUGGCUCAGAAUCAACGCUGGCGGCGUGCCUAACACAUGCAAGUCGAACGAGAAAGUGGAGCAAUCCAUGAGUAAAGUGGCGACCGGGUGAGUAACACGUGACUAACCUACCCUCGAGUGCGGAAUAACAUCGGGAAACCGAUGCUAAUACCACAUAACAUCGCAAGAUCAGAGGAGCAAUCCGCUUGAGGAGGGGGUCGCGGCUGAUUAGCUAGUUGGCGGGGUAACGGCCCACCAAGGCGAAGAUCGGUAGCCGGCCUGAGAGGGCGCACGGCCACACUGGAACUGAAACACGGUCCAGACUCCUACGGGAGGCAGCAGUGGGGAAUUUUGCGCAAUGGGGGAAACCCUGACGCAGCAACGCCGCGUGGAGGAUGAAGCCCCUUGGGGCGUAAA
rnacentral:rRNA from 1 species